AGAGAAGUUGGCGGAUGCCAGUCCUGCUCCUGACAAGACACCAAAUCACAGGGAGGCAGCAGCUGGGAGGCAAGAUCAAGGGCAAGGUGAAGGGGCUGGGGUAAGGCUCCCAGGGUCAAGUCUGGUGAGAGUCAGUCGGUGUUGGCUGGCUGGGAUGCCAGAGAUGGUCCAGUCAUCGGAAGAGUUUGCAACCUGCUGGAGAAGAUAGCCAGCAUAAGGACCAGCAUCUCAGCCUUGAACUACAGACAGCUUCAAAUUCCCAACUUCUAAAAGCAGAGGAGGGGACGGGGACGCUGAGGGGUUGCUCCUCUCAGCCUCCCUACCUUCCUGGGCCAACAACUGCACUGCCAAUGCCGUGCUUCUCCUAGAGCCUGAAGCUGCUUCACUGCGGGGGCCAACAGCAGCGGGAAGGGAAAGCUGUUAGCCCCAAGGAGCUGGACGUUCCUAAGGAGAACAAAACCC